CGCGGGGUAGAGCAGUGGUAGCUCGUCGGGCUCAUAACCCGGAGGUCGUCGGUUCAAAUCCGGCCCCCGCAACCA
rnacentral:tRNA from 1 species